rnacentral:lncRNA from 1 species
UGGGGCUGCAGCCUUCUGAGGGCUUGAUGUGUUCCGGAGCAGGAUAGCCGGACCCCGAGAAGGAGCGUCCCAGAGGGAAGAAGCGGAAGCCGCCAGUCUUCUUUGAGCUCUCAUCAUGACAUCAACCAGCUUGCAACAUACUGAGAAAUUAACAACUGGUUCUCAGAGCUGGCACCGGCAGGUUCCGGGACCACUAGGGGAGCUCUACCCCCACCCUCCUACUCCACAGAGCAGGGUGGAGCGAGAAUCCAGGCAGUUUACAGCAAUGAAAACACUGCAACAAGGUUUCCCCAUCUCACCUCUACUUCCACGUCCACGCCCUCCAGGCCCCAUCCUAUCUGGACUCUUGGUGGAAACGCUUCUGGUCUCCCAGGCUCCCAGGCAAGCCGAGCUCGAGAGGGGCAGUGCAUCAGCGGCAGUCAGAAGCGGCCACGCUCUCGGGCUGCACUCUAAGACUGGGGCUCAGCAUCCCCCUCAGCUCCCGCUUGCGCCUCUCUGCUACACUGGUGGCCUCUCCCUGGGAGGGGGUCCUGGAGGCAGGUCCUGCUUCUGAUUCCUCUCUGUCCCCCAGAUCCCAGUGCAGACCUGGCACAUAGGAGACCUCAGCUGGGCUGGAGCUACCAAUCACAUCCACAGAAUGAACACUGAGUAAAAAACUGGUAAAGCGCCUUGCUCCAUGUGUCAAGAUUAGCCUCUUCACACUUUGUUCCCGGUGCCUCUUCCAAAAGCUCUGUGCAGUCCCUCAUUCAUUCAUUUAUUCAAGCAGUCAUUAUCACUGGGCAUCAUGCAUUCAAGCAGAAGCUUGCUGAAGCCCAUUUUGGGCCACUCAGGGCUGGGGACCCGGAAAUCAAGCACGCCUGCUUCCUGGCUUUGAGACGCUCUUAGGGAGCAAGGCAUGCACAGUUCGGCAGGCUCUGGGGAGAACCUGGGCUAAGUGGCAGGGCACCACCCGUUCUGGAAGGUGGUAUCAGAGUCGGUGUUUCUGAGGAAGUGAGGCAGGGCUGGACCUGGAAGGAGAUGCAGGAGUUGGCCAGGUCAAGAAGGACAAGGCCGGUGAUUUAUGGCCGACAUUGUACAGAACCCCCAGUCACAGCAGCUCGGCUCCCUCUGGGGCAAGCCAGGCAUCUUGGGCAUCUGAAGGGGGGUGGGGGAAGGGGCAGGGAUAAGGCCAGGGAAGCUGGCGGGGAUGGAUCAGGGGCUCUGAGGGCCAGGCUGCAGAGUUGGGACCUCCUUUGAGGCGGCGGGGAGAUGCUGAAGGGAGGGAUGUGAGAGGGAUCUCCCCACUGAGAGACCAGCGGUGUUGGCCCUCACUCAGGCCCCUCUUGGCCUCCUUGGC